AUUUUCCGCUAGAUUUAGCGGGAAAGUUUUUCCGCUAGAUUUAGCGGAGAAAUUUUGCCGCUAGAUCUAGCGGGGAAA
rnacentral:pre_miRNA from 1 species